UGUUUCCUACGGGGGGCAGCAGUGGGGAAUAUUGCACAAUGGCCGGAAGGCUGAACCAGCCAAGUCGCGUGAGGGACGACUGCCCUAUGGGUUGUAAACCUCUUUUAUAAGGGAAGAAUAAAUGCUACGUGUAGCAUGAUGCCUGUACCUUAUGAAUAAGCAUCGGCUAACUCCGUGCCAGCAGCCGCGGUAAUACGGAGGAUGCGAGCGUUAUCCGGAUUUAUUGGGUUUAAAGGGUGCGUAGGCGGUUUUUUAAGUUAGUGGUUAAACGUCGGGGCUUCACCUUGAUUUUCCAUUAAUACUGU
rnacentral:rRNA from 1 species